rnacentral:rRNA from 1 species
UACGUAGGGCGCAAGCGUUUGUCCGGAAUCAUUGGGCGUAAAGAGCUCGUAGGUGGUCUGUUACGUCUGCUGUGAAAACCUAGGGCUUAACCCUGGGCCUGCAGUGGAUACGGGCAGACUAGAGGUAGGUAGGGGAGAAUGGAAUUCCCGGUGUAGCGGUGAAAUGCGCAGAUAUCGGGAGGAACACCGGUGGCGAAGGCGGUUCUCUGGGCCUUACCUGACACUGAGGAGCGAAAGCGUGGGGAGCGAACAGG